AUGCUUUUGCUUGACGAAGUUUCAGGACUUUUAUCUCUCAUUUUCACCUUUGGCGCAUAUAUUGAUCAGCUGAUGCGUAGCAAUGCUUUAUUAAUCAUAUUGCAUCUAAAGGAUUUUGGUGUGGAGGCACACCAUAAUAAAUGACAAUAGAUGGGGGCAGUGAAUGGUCUGAGUUGAGGUAAAAUUGUUGUGAAGAUCUGCGAGCUGCAAUGAUUUAUGCAUGGGUCUGCAACACAUAUCGCUCAAGGCCACAUGUUUUAUUUUAAAUUCACAAGCAUGUGGAUGCUAUGUCGCUUUACGAAGAGUUAAAACCAUAAAUGGUGUCAGUGGCGAUGAAGAUUUAUUUCUGUAUGUAUACCUCUACAUCUGUGUUGGCGAUGAAGAAUUCUUUCUUUCUGCAUAUAAUGUUUCAGAGCAUAAUAAGUUAGCGGACUUUGUGUGAAAGUGGGCCCGUAUCUUGGCGUGGCAACCUGGAUUGUGAUGCAGCCAUGACGGGGCCCUACCCACUUUUUCUCUUUCCUAUGUGCAGCUCAUGAGCCCAAAAAAACAAUUUUUUUCAAGUUUUAUUCUCAGUCACUACAUCAACCACUAUAGUUUCUACUGAAAUGGGUCCAUAUCUUGGCGGGGCAACCUGGAUUCUGAUGCAGCCAUG
rnacentral:lncRNA from 1 species